AUGAACGCUGGCGGCGUGCCUCAUACAUGCAAGUCGAGCGAACAGACGAGGAGCUUGCUCCUCUGACGUUAGCGGCGGACGGGUGAGUAACACGUGGAUAACCUACCUAUAAGACUGGGAUAACUUCGGGAAACCGGAGCUAAUACCGGAUAAUAUAUUGAACCGCAUGGUUCAAUAGUGAAAGACGGUUUUGCUGUCACUUAUAGAUGGAUCCGCGCCGCAUUAGCUAGUUGGUAAGGUAACGGCUUACCAAGGCGACGAUGCGUAGCCGACCUGAGAGGGUGAUCGGCCACACUGGAACUGAGAUACGGUCCAGACUCCUACGGGAGGCAGCAGUAGGGAAUCUUCCGCAAUGGGCGAAAGCCUGACGGAGCAACGCCGCGUGAGUGAUGAAGGUCUUCGGAUCGUAAAACUCUGUUAUUAGGGAAGAACAAAUGUGUAAGUAACUAUGCACGUCUUGACGGUACCUAAUCAGAAAGCCACGGCUAACUACGUG
rnacentral:rRNA from 1 species